rnacentral:rRNA from 1 species
UGGGGUUCGAGGCAGUGAUUAGAGUUUGAUCCUGGCUCAGGAUGAACGCUGGCGGCGUGCCUAACACAUGCAAGUCGAGCGAGAAGCUUAUGAAUGAAACUUCGGUCGAAUGAAUAAGUGGAAAGCGGCGGACGGGUGAGUAACGCGUAGGCAACCUGCCCUUAGCAGGGGGAUAGCCAUUGGAAACGAUGAUUAAAACCCCAUAAUGCAGAAAACACACAUGUAUAUUCUGCCAAAGAUUUAUCGGCUAAGGAUGGGCCUGCGUCUGAUUAGAUAGUUGGUGAGGUAACGGCCCACCAAGUCUACGAUCAGUAGCCGACCUGAGAGGGUGAUCGGCCACAUUGGAACUGAGACACGGUCCAAACUCCUACGGGAGGCAGCAGUGGGGAAUAUUGCACAAUGGGCGAAAGCCUGAUGCAGCAACGCCGCGUGAAGGAUGAAGGUCUUCGGAUCGUAAACUUCUGUCCUUGGGGAAGAAGAUCUGACGGUACCCAUGGAGGAAGCCCCGGCUAACUACGUGCCAGCAGCCGCGGUAAUACGUAGGGGGCGAGCGUUAUCCGGAAUUAUUGGGCGUAAAGAGUGCGUAGGUGGUUCUUUAAGCGAGAGGUUUAAGGCUAUGGCUUAACCAUAGUUCGCCUCCCGAACUGAAGGACUUGAGUGCAGGAGAGGAAAGCGGAAUUCCUAGUGUAGCGGUGAAAUGCGUAGAUAUUAGGAGGAACACCAGUGGCGAAAGCGGCUUUCUGGACUGAAACUGACACUGACGCACGAAAGCGUGGGGAGCAAACAGGAUUAGAUACCCUGGUAGUCCACGCCGUAAACGAUGAGCACUAGUGUCGGGAGGAUGAACUCUCGGUGCCGCAGUUAACGCAAUAAGUGCUCCGCCUGGGGAGUACGCACGCAAGUGUAAAACUCAAAGGAAUUGACGGGGACCCGCACAAGCAGCGGAGCAUGUGGUUUAAUUCGAAGCACGCGAGACUUACAGGUCUGACAUCUCUGAAGCUGGUACGCGAGCCUCUCGACAGAGAGACAGUGUGCAUGUGUCGUCAGCUCUUCUGAGAUGUGGGUAGUCCGCACGAGCGCACUGCUAGUGCAGCAGUAGUCGCCUCUAAGACUGCGGGACACUCGAGAGUGGAUGAGUCAAACCAUGCCUAGAUUGGCUCAACUCUCAAUGCGUACAUGAAGUAGGAGGUAUCGGGAGCG